rnacentral:rRNA from 1 species
GACGAACGCUGGCGGCGCGCCUAACACAUGCAAGUCGAACGAGCGAGAGAGAGCUUGCUUUCUCGAGCGAGUGGCGAACGGGUGAGUAACGCGUGAGGAACCUGCCUCAAAGAGGGGGACAACAGUUGGAAACGACUGCUAAUACCGCAUAAGCCCACGGUGCCGCAUGGCACAGAGGGAAAAGGAGCAAUCCGCUUUGAGAUGGCCUCGCGUCCGAUCAGCUAGUUGGUGAGGUAAUGGCCCACCAAGGCGACGAUCGGUAGCCGGACUGAGAGGUUGAACGGCCACAUUGGGACUGAGACACGGCCCAGACUCCUACGGGAGGCAGCAGUGGGGAAUAUUGCACAAUGGGGGAAACCCUGAUGCAGCGACGCCGCGUGGAGGAAGAAGGUCUUCGGAUUGUAAACUCCUGUUGUUGGGGAAGAUAAUGACGGUACCCAACAAGGAAGUGACGGCUAACUACGUG